rnacentral:rRNA from 1 species
ACGCUGGCGGCACGCCUAACACAUGCAAGUCGAACGGAGAUAUUUGGUUACUGAGAUAUCUUAGUGGCGGACGGGUGGGUAACACGUGAGCAACCUGCCUCUGAGAGAGGGAUAGCUUCUGGAAACGGAUGGUAAUACCUCAUGACAUAACGAAGCCGCAUGACUUUGUUAUCAAAGAUUUAUCACUCAGAGAUGGGCUCGCGUCUGAUUAGAUAGUUGGUGAGGUAACGGCUCACCAAGUCGACGAUCAGUAGCCGGACUGAGAGGUUGAACGGCCACAUUGGGACUGAGACACGGCCCAGACUCCUACGGGAGGCAGCAGUGGGGAAUAUUGCACAAUGGGGAAACCCUGAUGCAGCGAUGCCGCGUGGAGGAAGAAGGUUUUCGGAUUGUAAACUCCUGUCUUAAAGGACGAUAAUGACGGUACUUUAGGAGGAAGCUCCGGCUAACUACGUGCCAGCCGCCGC